rnacentral:rRNA from 1 species
GUGCCAGCAGCCGCGGUAAUACGUAGGGGGCGAGCGUUGUCCGGAUUCAUUGGGCGUAAAGCGCUCGCAGGCGGUCGGCCGCGUCUUGCGUGAAGGCCCUCGGCUCAACCGAGGGUGGUCGUAGGAAACGGGUCGGCUGGAGGUAGGUAGGGGGACGCGGAAUUCCCGGUGUAGUGGUGGAAUGCGUAGAGAUCGGGAGGAACACCGGCGGCGAAGGCGGCGUCCUGGACCUGGCCUGACGCUCAGGAGCGAAAGCGUGGGGAGCGAUCCGGAUUAGAAACCCGCGUAGUCC